rnacentral:ncRNA from 1 species
UACAAGUAGAGGUUGCACACAACAUCAGUAAUUUCCGGGAGUAGUCAUGCGAAGAUCGGUUAUGAAAGGGGCGUGUGCCGAAGGGUAGCACCGGAAAACUGCUUCCCUGGGACUUGUCUUAACAAGAUAAGUACUGUCAGUUUUACUGAU